rnacentral:misc_RNA from 1 species
AGAAAAGAGGGGGGGAUGAGGGGGGAUUGCUUAAUGGCUAGUGACGCAUCGUACUUGAGGAGGUGAGAUGUAUUUUAUUUUCCACAUGGUUAUUUGGUGGGCAAAAUUUUAUGUUAAUAUUUAUUGUCACUUGUGCUUAUGAAUGGGGUUCCUAUGCUGUUCUUGUUGUGUGGGGUUUCAUUUCCGGGUUCGUGGCCUGGUGCAUGUUUCUUGUUGUGUGAACAGUUGGUUGGCGGACAUAAAGCUAAUUGGCAGAGCUUGUACACUUUCGCAAUGCUUUUGUGCUUGUUACAUUAAUACGUCAGGAUUUGUUUAUCUGCGGUGUGGUUAUCAAGCGCAUAAGACAAAGCAAUUGACAUCUAUUUUGCUCGUCAAGUAGCCUUGGACUUAGGGUUGUGUUUUAAGUGAUAAAAUUAUAAGCAGCCGUAUAUGGAAGUGUUUUUCUUUUCUUCGGUACAUUUCAAAUUCUUAAAGAGGAAAGGGCUUCCAAAAUCUCAAUUACUGGUUCGAAGUGAUCUACUUUCAUCAAGUUUCUUCCUGCUAGACCAUGAUUUUCGGUACAAUUUCAUGCGGAAAUUAGAUAAAAAAAAUAAGUAGAGAAAAUGGAAUUAUAAUAUGAAUUUUGCUGGGUGUGGUAAUUCAUUACGAUGAAGAGUCCUUGUAAGUUGCAAAAUUCUUCUAUGUUUUUUGACCUUUUUAUGUUUUCUGUCUGUAUUUUCUUGCUCACAAUAGUGAGUCCGCACAUCAACCAUUUUUGUUUCAAAUGCAGUAAAUUCAAUAUUCGCUUUAA